rnacentral:lncRNA from 1 species
AUGCCCGAAGCUGAAUCAAGCCCGUGGAAGAGUGUUCAACAUCAGCGCAAGGGAAGCGUGCCAGGAUCCCAACGUUGUCACUGUACUCAAUUGAGCUGGCUAAUGGAAAACUAGUUGAAGCAAAUGAAGUUGUCCGAGGUUGCGUAAUGUAGGAUCGUUAGACGACCUGACGAGUCUAUCAGAAGAGUGCUCAGCCAGAAUCAGAGGCGGAAUUCAUUGAUUCUGUCUUUGUUCAACUUGAUUUCACUAAUUUGUCUCUGUUUAUUGCACUUAUUAACAAGUUACAAGCUCUGGAGACGAUUCGGCAGGGCUUCGCCGUUACACAACUUCACUGCUCUACUAGUUUCGCUUCAAAUGACCCCCAUAUAUAGGACAUAUAGUUUCGCUUAUGUGUACAUGACUGAUGUGCUGAAAGUGGGUUAAUUAAAACAACUAAAAUUACCCUAAUUCUAGACUCUCUAAGCUUUAAAUUUAUAAAACUAAGACUCUCUAAACCCUAAACCACACGACCGGCAAGUGUACCGAUCGAUGCAGUAUAGCCUAAGGAAGUCCGAGUAUCGAACCCAAGAGACUCUACUGAUUACGCUAAUGACUCUAUCUAGACCUAGACUGACACGACUUAACUAAUUGUGUAUUUGAUUGGGGGGGGGUUCUAAAAGUCCUAAAUAAAAUAUUAAAAUAAUACUAGAAGACUAGACACGAACUAGAACGAAGGUUUUGACCAGUGGUGAUGAAGACUACCUAGGCUAGACGCAAGCUAAACUCAGAAUGGAUUUCUAUUCGAUGAUUUUGUGGUGUGGAACCGGGAUCUUUGGAUACUAAACCUAUUAAGACACCACUAAGCCCCUCAAACACUCUCAAGGCGAUUCUUAUGGCACUACCUAGGCUGUUACGCUCACCGGCUUUCUAGAUUUCUUUUCCGUCCUCUAGUUUCUUGAAAGUGCCUAUGUAAGACGCUCUACCUUGCCGCGCGAACGUCUAAAGCAGCUACGGGUUUUAAUCUUGGCUUAAUAGACAAUGGAAUGUUAAGUCCUUAUAACUAAACCGAGACCUAUUAAUAUCCUCGAGCCUUUCCGCGACGAGUCUAGCAGCACACUUGAUUUUAUUAAAUUACCGAAUAUUGUUUCUAAGGUUACUUACUAGAUUUUCACCCUAAAGGAUUAGAGAUUUAUUAUGUGAUAUAGACACUCACCAAAACCUAAAACCCUAGCCCGACUCUAUUAUGUGAUAAAGACCGUCACCAAGAAUCGAACGAAGCAAUAAACAAUAAUCAAACAAUCACAAGCACGCAUAUGCACCAAGUUAAAUUCCCAUAGCUUUUACAGUACAAGAAAUAUCCACAACCACGCCAAAACCAAGUAAAAAAUCCAAACUUUAUUAAGCUAUUGUCAUAACCUAAGUAGUUAAAGAACGUUUAGCCAAGAAUCAUAGUCUUAAAAACAAUCAAACAAAAUCUCAAACAAGAAUUCAUCGAAGUAAAAACAAGAAACUAGAAAAUAAAAGAAAUCGUAAGGUAGAACCCGUAAAAUUUCUUGAUCUCUAUGCUUCCCCCUUGACCCCAAUGAUUCCAAAGCUUGAUUUCUUGUAAAACAAUUCGCUCCUGCUUAUCUUCGUUCGUCUGAUCUUCUUUUUCGAAUUCGUUUUGAUGUCUCCUGUACGUGCGUCUCCCAAAAUUCUUGCCUGUUGUCGAAUAAUAUCCAAGUAAUAAAAGGGGUCCUCCCCAUAUUCACGUUCCAGCCCAUCAAAAUAAAUGGGCUUCGGCCCUUUAAAUGUCCAGCCGACCUCCUUAGCCAAUAAGGGCUGCCGCCCAUUGUCUGAUGUUGAUAUCUUCUCAAGUUGUUGUCUUUCCCAAGAUAGUUGGCCACCACCCUAACAAAUAAGAGCUGCCGCCCUCUUGUUCACAUAAAAUGGGCUUGGCCCAACCGUCCUUUUUCAUUGUAUAUGGGCUUGUGGCCCCUUUAAUGUGCCGCCCUUCUUGAUAUAUAUUUUUCGUUCUUUUUAGUCAAAAGGCCGGCUCCUAUUUUGUUGCUUCCAAUUCAGAAUGCCGCCCACUUCUGACCAAUAAAGGCUGCCGCCCAAUUAAAAACAACUAAUGGCCUCCUUUAUUUCUUUCAUUGGGCCGCCCCUCAAAAGAUAUAUAUGUUAUAUAUGAAUUAUGGAUCACAUGGCCCGUAGACUAGACUGAUGGCUUUUCUUAUUUGAUUUCCAACUCCACAAAUAUUAUAAUAAUAUAGAUAGCAACCCUUUUUAGAUAAUAUAGAAAUAGCGGGCUGGGCCCACUCGAGAAAUAUAAUGGCAAUUUUACUCCGGGCUCUAGCACCCUACCCUACUCAACUGGCUGGUCAUUUCCAUAUCACUCUUUUUCGCUCCAUUUACACCAGUACCUGCCAAAACACAAAGUAAUAUAAUAC